rnacentral:lncRNA from 1 species
UCAGCAUAUUGCAGUCAUUGCAGCAGCGAGUUCUAUGAAGCACAUCAAUCAAGGGUACAUAGUCAAUGACAAUCCCUCCCAUUUAAUUAGAUGGUUUGCCAGUUUCUUCAUGUAGAUAGUAUCAUAGUGAUGCGAUUCAGAUGUUUAUAAUUCUUUUCUAACAUUACAUGUUCUUGUAGUCAUUCAUUUUGAAACCACGGAGGCCAUCGCAUUAUGCAUUGGUUAGACUAGGUAAUUUCUGUUCUAUAACUUUUCUAUCAAUAUGCCAAGAUCGACUGUUCGCCUCACCUUUAUUCUACAAUGCCAAAAUGUCCAGAACAUAAGGGCAACAUAAAUUUCAAGCUUUUAGACCUUACUUAUGUUAUGAACUUAUGAUAUAUGUCUAAAUUCUAUAGAUGUUUUAUCCUUUGCUACAUCUGAGUAUACACUAAUUAGUUAAACCUUUUCUUCUCCGGAUCUGCAUUCCACCUGUACUAAUUGCGAGAUUAUAUAUGUGUUUGUGUUCAUUCUUAAUUUAAACUAGACCUAGCUGUAUAUACUACAAAAUUUGUUAAACUUGCGCUGGGCAGGUUUCCAUGAUGAGUUCGUAGCCUUUAUGAAGUUGUUGCUGAUUGUUUUCUGUAAUCAUCGCUCAUUUCUCGUCUCCAUAGCAGAAAAUUUGAUUCUUGCCUCUAACCUUGAUCCUGAUGAAACAAUUGCUUGGCACAAUAAAUAAAUGUUUGAGUGGCAUGAUGUGUUAGGUUUCCAUGAUUUACUGUCAUUUACAUGAGGAGGUGGCAGUUUUGGCUACCUCCACCCGCCUCAGUCUGUUUUUUAAAGUGGGAAGUGAUGAAUCGAACAAGGAGGAAGGACGACGUGUUUGUUCUUUCCGGCGUGUUUACUAGACUUUGUAUAUAUGAACUUCACCUCAUAUUUUCUUCCUGGCUUGAUAAGAACUGAACAAUACAAUUUGGUUUCUCGUGUCCAGUAUUCCAGAUUGAGUGAUGCUAGAGAUAUGCGACCCUUAGACCAGUUUACGAAAUGCUUUAGGUUUAUUUUUCUUUCAUGUACAUAGCUGGAAGUAGUCUGAUAGCCAUUUUAUAAGGAUAAACAAGGCUUACUGUACGUAAGGUUUGAGACUACCCCAUUUCAAAUAACUAAGGGAAUCACUAUUCCUCAAAUGCAAGAUAUUGGUUUAUUUUAUUUCGUAUGGCAUGUUUUUGUUUCAGUUCUUUGUUUUUUCAAUCCAUUUGCUUUCUUGCAGUCUUUGUGAUAACAGUGAUUUGAGAAGGAUCUGUCUCUGUAGCUGUAGAUGAUAACUACAUAAUUAUUUGUUCUUUCUAUGUGAAAUAUUUAACCUUCAGUACUUAUAAUGCACAAAUAUAAAAUUGUAUAUUGCUAUUAUGUUCUUCUAUCCUAGAAUUAUUUCCCUUAUCUGCCUAUCUUGAUCAUGAAAUUAAGUCAAUUUCUUCUAUUAUCUUCAUGUGUUUGGGGAUAGGAUUCUGAAAGCUUGCCUAAUAAUUUUAUCAUAUAAGUUGAAAUUCAGUAAAACAUUCCCACUUGACAGUUCUGUUGUUAUUCCCUUAAAUGUUGAUCCAAGUGUCAUAAAUGACACAAGAUGCGUAGCUUGUUUUUUACCUUACAAUUUUGCUAGAUACAUUCUGAGAAUAUUUUGUGAGGCAUCCUGAUUUGCAUAUCACAGGCUGCUAGAGUUGUUCAAGCAGUUGUGUGCGUUCUACUUUUGAUAAUUUUUCUAUCUAUAUUUUGUACUUCAUUUAGUUUGAAUAGAUACCAUAACCUAGGCUAGGUUCAGUAACUAUUUGUUUGCUUUUUUUACAUAGCGGCUGAAUCAAAAUCAUUCUCUUAUUUCCCUGGUGGCCUGGUGCUUACGGUUUAAUUGCUAUAGUUGCUGGAGCCAUUGGCCUUUUAUACAUAAUAGUGUAUACAUUUAUAAUGUCAAUCCUUGCUCAUGGUACAUCUUUCUUGGUUGUCUGGCGACAAGAGUUAGCAUAUCAACCAUGUGAGUAGGCCUUGCACUAACCUCGGUAUUGGCAACAGAUCCGACAAAUUUACUAAUUUGAUCUUAACAAUUAUACUAUGGGUUUGCCUUAGUUGACCAUCAACUGUGCAUCAUGCAAUUAAAAAAACUCUUGCCACUGUAGUUUUACUUCUAACUAAAGGGAUUCAAUUGACUGUGAGAGGAGAGCAGAGCAGCAAGAGGGGAACUCACUCCUCAACACGGCGACCUGCGCGGGCGUGAGCUUCGCCGUGAACCUGUUGAUGGCGUUCUUGUAGCUGUAGACCAGCGUCACUUUCGGCCUUCUCCUUACUUGGAAAAGAACCUAUCAUAGACUUCACCCAGCCUUCUUGUAGCUGUAGACCAUCAUGUCAUGUAAUUACUUGCAAAACAACUAUAUUGUUUUUUGGUAUUGUAAAGCGGAAAUGGUAGAACUCUACAACUUCUCUGUUAGUGUCGCUUGAUUAUUUACUUUCUCAUGUAUUGUGGAUAUAGUGCUGUCGGUAUAUUAAGUAUAUGCACGAAGAUAUGCAAAUUUUAAGUAUAUGCAUGUCGUACACACCUAGAGGGCUUUUCUGAACAGACUAGGCUUUUAGUAGAUUUGGGUUUCUAUUUGCAUUCAUUUUUGCCUCUCUUUUCUGCUGCAGCUCCGCUGGUUCUUUGUUCUUGCUGCGCUUUGGGUUGACUUGCCAUGGAACCGUUUGGCUGAGGUGUCUCCAUCACCAUUAUUUGCUAUGUUUUGGAUUUGCCAGCUCACUGACUGCUACAUUUUUCCUCUUGUUGGCCUCUUCUUUUUCUGUCGUCGUCCAUCGAUCCAACCUGCUGUUGUUCGCUUCGUCGGCUUGCAGUUGCUUCUAGAGCGUGCUGUGGAUUCGUUGUGCCUCCUUCCAAUAUAGGUUCUCUUUGAUUCCACUGCCUUUGCAUAUGCAUGUCUGAUAUUUUAAUCUAUAGAGUCCAAAGGAGAACAGAGGAGAAGUGUGAAAUAGAUAGAGUUUGUGCUGAGAAGUUCCUGACUAAUUCAUGCUGUACUAGUCAUGGCUACAUGUUUGUUAGUCAUUUGGCUGGGUCAGGCUUAUGUAGGGAAUAUUUUCUUAAUGAAAGAUAUGGUGAUAGGAAAUAGUAAGUGUAGUUUCGGCAUAUGUACCUGCAAAUUUCUCAAGGAUCAAUCGUAGUUGUUCUUGAACAAAGCAUUCAUGGAAUUUCAUUUUCAGUUUCAAGUAUUAAAGGAAAGGGUGGAUGUAAAGAAAUAGGAUUAUGCUUCUAUGGCAUGCAAUGUAAAGAAAUAGGUGAUAAUGUUGAAUUGCUUCCUUUCAUACUUGGAUCUCGCUAGAUU